GACGAACGCUGGCGGCGUGCCUAAUACAUGCAAGUCGAGCGGAACUGGGGGAGCUUGCUCCUUCCAGUUUAGCGGCGGACGGGUGAGUAACGCGUGGGCAACCUGCCCUGCAGAUCGGGAUAACUCCGGGAAACCGGUGCUAAUACCGAAUAGUUUGACGCCUCUCCUGAGGCGCUACGGAAAGACGGUUUCGGCUGUCACUGCAGGAUGGGCCCGCGGCGCAUUAGCUAGUUGGUGGGGUAACGGCCCACCAAGGCGACGAUGCGUAGCCGACCUGAGAGGGUGACCGGCCACACUGGGACUGAGACACGGCCCAGACUCCUACGGGAGGCAGCAGUAGGGAAUCUUCCGCAAUGGGCGCAAGUCUGACGGAGCAACGCCGCGUGAGUGACGAAGGUUUUCGGAUCGUAAAACUCUGUUGUGAGGGAAGAACACGUACCAACUAACUAUUGGUACCUUGACGGUACCUCGCCAGAAAGCCACGGCUAACUACGUGCCAGCCGCCGCAGUAA
rnacentral:rRNA from 1 species